rnacentral:rRNA from 1 species
GGAACCUGGCGGCGUGCCUAAUACAUGCAGUCGAGCGAACGGACGAGAAGCUUGCUUCUCUGAUGUUAGCGGCGGACGGGUGAGUAACACGUGGAUAACCUACCUAUAAGACUGGGAUAACUUCGGGAAACCGGAGCUAAUACCGGAUAAUAUUUUGAACCGCAUGGUUCAAAAGUGAAAGACGGUCUUGCUGUCACUUAUAGAUGGAUCCGCGCUGCAUUAGCUAGUUGGUAAGGUAACGGCUUACCAAGGCAACGAUGCAUAGCCGACCUGAGAGGGUGAUCGGCCACACUGGAACUGAGGCACGGUCCAGACUCCUACGGGAGGCAGCAGUAGGGAAUCUUCCGCAAUGGGCGAAAGCCUGACGGAGCAACGCCGCGUGAGUGAUGAAGGUCUUCGGAUCGUAAAACUCUGUUAUUAGGGAAGAACAUAUGUGUAAGUAACUGUGCACAUCUUGACGGUACCUAAUCAGAAAGCCACGGCUAACUACGUGCCAGCAGCCGCGGUAAU